rnacentral:lncRNA from 1 species
AGAACAUUCUACAGAAAGCAUUUGUGAUGGCCUCUUGCCCUUGAGGAGCCGUGCCCCGCAUCUUUGGACCUUGGUUCCCAGGACCUACCAACAUGAUCCCAUCUUGGAUUUAGGUUUCUAGCUCCUUGGCCAGAGUCUGAGGGAAUAAUGAAAUCAAUACACUCAAUCCAUAUUGUGCAUAUGGUUUUGAACUCUAGGUUUGGGGGUUCUGAGGUGCAACCCAAUCAAAAGGGCCUGUUAACAGCACCAUUUGUGAGAGAGAUUUCUAGGUUGGAUGUUUGUCUUCUGCAGUUGACUUCGAUUAUCUGUCUCUGGUGGGCCCAGAACAAAAAGUUUUGGUAAGGCAAAACUAGGCUCUGAUUUUGUAGGCAUGGCAUUCAUUAUGUAAGCGUACAGGUCUAUGUUUCAAAAUGAAAAAUAACAAUAAUAAUUAAAGUUUCUCUAGGCUUCUUGUGUCCAAACCACUCUUGCAAAAUCACCUUUGGAUGAGCUUUAAGUGUCAGCAAAUCAGAAACAUGUGGAUUUAAUUUCCUUUGAAAUACACCAGGGGACCAAGGGGCAACAGGGCUUGGCAACCAGCUUCUUAGGGUUUGCCAAACCCCAAAUACCUCACACUCUGGAAGAGCUGUCCCGCUGGCCCCCAGCAGUCUUAUCUGGCCAGUCCAGCCGCUGCAUUUCUUGCUAUCCCAACUAGGUUUUCUCUAACCAUUAGGCUGUUCUCUUGGUCCAUUUUAGCUGCCAGAAGGACACUGUUAACACCACCCACAUGCAUAACAGAACUUUGGAAGAGGGACCAGACUGCAAUGAGGUGUCAGGUUGGCUUCAGUCUUAUCUGGACGAACAGGCCAUCUUUGCAGCCAUUACUAUGUCUUUAAAACCCAAACCAACUGUGAGAGAGGUUUUUCCAACUUGACUUCUAGAUGGGAAAAUAUUUUGCUUUUAUGGUGGAUGAUGGUAUUGGGCCCCAAAUAUAUUAGGUUUCAUGAUCAUCCAUCACUCAUGCAUAUAAUAUGAAACAUGUCCAUACUCUGCAAAGACCACAGCCACCCCGCCAUUAGGUUCCAAGGUAAAUAUAGGCCCACAAACCUCCUGGAGAAACAGAGAAGUUUCCUUCGAGGAGAGGAACCACAGUUGUGUAGUUGUGAUGCAUCUCUGAAACCCCUAUCCCUAUCCCCUGGUCUACUCUACCCAAAGAGUAAGGAUAUGCCAAUAGAUCUGUGUCGUUCUCUGGCCCAUCGUUUUUCUUUCUUGGUAUUAAUGCUUCUCUUUUUCUGUUCUAUAUUUUCUAUGUCUUGUGUCUCUUUUGCCUUAAAUACCAAUGUACAUUUAAUGCAAAGGGCCAACUGAAGCUUUAAAAAGUACUUUUCACAUCCGAAACAACUAAUGCUUUAGUGCCUGUGUGUCAUAUGUUUACAUAUACUGACUUCUUUGUUAUCCUUAUCUUACUGAAGGGGCAACAGAGGCAGCGCCAGAGAGACAGAGUAACCUACACAUCACACAACCAGUAAAUAAAAGCUCAACCUUGAUUUCUGGCCACUGGGCUCCAGAAAUGGUGUUCUAUCCAGGGCUCAAUGCUGUCUCCUACUCCAUUGUUUUGUAUGUCAAGUUGACUGGCCCAUGAGGUGCCCAGAUGUUGGUCAAGCAUUAUUCUGUUUUCAUGGAGGAUGUUUGGGGAUGAGAUUAACAUUUAAAUUGGUAGACUGAGUAAAGCAGACCCCCGGACCUUGUAGUGUGUGUGUGGACCUCAUCCAAUCAGUUGAAGGCCUUAACAGAACAAAAAUACUGAUUCUCCCCUGAGUAAGAGGUACUUCUCUUGCCUGUCCUAUUGAGCUGGGACAUUGGCUUUCUUCUGCUUGAACUUGAACCGAAGAAAUAUCAGCUCUUCUGGGGUGUUGAGCCUACUGGCAUUGGGUUAGAACUUCACACCUGGUUCUCCUGGUUCUCAGGCCUUUGGAGUUGGACUGAAAAUACACCAUUGGCUCCCCUGAGUGUCUAGCUUGCCAACUCACCCUGCAGAUCUUAGGACUUGUCAGCUUACAUAAUGACACAAGCCAGUCCCUUAUAAUAUCUCUGUUUCCGUCUAUCUGUCUAUCUCUAUUUACCCUAUUGGUUCUAUUUCUCCAAAGAACCCUAAUACAAACUUUUCUUAUUGAAUUUGCCAGGCAAUCCUGUGGAGGUGGAGGUGAUGGAUCAUCGCUGCUUGCCAGACGAGGAAAAACCUAGAACAUGUUCAUUUUAUCCAUGCACGUGUACCUGUACACAUAUAUGCACACACAUAUACACACCUGAAUUCAGGACAAAGAGCAAAAUCAAGGUCCACGCAUUUCUUAUUCAGCACUUCUUCCCCAAGGCAUCCACAGAGCAGCCACAGUUGGCAUCGUUAGGUUUUUCCAGACCUUCUCGCAGAAAACUCUGCCUGGAGUAUCGGGUGACAGAGGAACCACUGCUAUUUUGUUUGUUCUUCAAAUUCCAUAUUGUAAAUUCCAGCCAAAAAAACCAACGAAGUAAAGAAUUGGGAACCUUGCAAGUUCCCACCUGGAAACAGUGAAUAUAGGGAAUGGAUCCCUGAGGGUACAAUUACCUCUGAACAAUUGGGUGCUGAGCUGGACAAGGAUAUCUGGCUAGUGGAAUUUUUGUGCAAAAAUCUUUUAUCUUUGUUAGCUCAUGUAAACUCCAAGGCCAUUCACUGUGUCAAGACUAUUGACACUUAUCCUAGGUGUUUACUUUUCAAGGCUUUGUCUUUUAUAAAGCCACCCCAGCCUCAGGGUUAAGAAGAAAUCAGGUUCUCUACUCUCACCCCACCCCCUGCCUCUUGCUUUUACAGUAUCCACUGUGGCAGUCCAGGACAACAGGUGAGCUAGUAAACACUGAAGGUGUGUCCUGACUGUCCACUCAAAGCCAAGGUAGACUGGUGAUCCACUAACAUCUUCAACUGCUUGUACCGAGUGGUCAGAAACUCAGGAGGACAUGUCUGUGCCUUUCUACUGCUGUGUCUAAGCAGCAGAGGGGAAUUCUAUGCUGGGCUUUAGCAGCCUCAGGACCCUUGCAGCAUCCUCUGAACCUCCCUGCUCUCCAGCUUCCCACCCUGAGCUUUUUUUCUGUUGAAAGUGGCUGGGGGUGACGGGGGAAUGGUGCAUCCACUUGAGGCACACAACUCCCACGCACACCUCCCUCUGUUUCUGUGGGAGCUGAGAAGCUGGGGGCCGAGAAGGCUGGCUGGGAAGGAAAGGCUGGGACUGAUCCUGCAAAGAUGGGGCAGGAGGUGGUGCUUGUAAGCAGGGAGCUUUGGUUUUAAUGAAUAAAAUCUAAAAACCCCAAGUUCCCACCUGGGGACCUUGGGGUCAGUAGGUGGAAUCCAGUUUGGUCAAAGGGUAAUCAUUCUCAUCCUUUAACUGAAAACCUUCUCCCUCUCUCCCAACCCCCUAGCCCUAGAACAAUACUAUUUUCAAAAGGUUUGGUUUGGGCUUCACACGGUGCACUAGUUGUUGUGAGUGGCAAAGAAAAAAAAAAAAAAAAGAGCAUUUUCCAUUUAAAAAAUGAGCCUCAAAUUCACUAGUUCUUCCUCAAGCCAAAAGCUUCUGACUUGCACUGGCUUCUCUCUAAUGGAUAAUGGGUAGUUUUUCAUACUUUGAAAAACACUGCUUUUUUUUUUUUUUUUUUUUCCCCUCUCCGGUUGAGUAAGCUCUUGCAAGUGGGAUUAAACAAGAAACGCCAUUUCUCAUGGAAAUGGCUUUAUUUCCAUUAUACCCACACUGGCUUGUUUUCAGAGUGGCUCAGACGUGCUGGACAAUGUAUCCUGAAUUGAGGAAGAAAAGGGAGAUGGUUGAAACCUUUGCUUUGAGGGAAGAAACCCAGCAAAGAGAUCUAUUCAUUCGCAUUGACCUUGGAGAUAGAUAUCACGUAAUGCUACAGUUUAGGCCUAAUUAUUUGUGGAGGAGCAAGCAGGGCUCCUGUUCUGUGUUUUGUAGCCAUGGACCUCCCCUCUGCUGGGUGCCCCAGUAUCGGGUGCCGCUCACGAGCGGGCCGGGUGUGUUUGAUGGGUGCUGACACGGCCUGGUCACAUUCCCUCUCAACAGAGCUGUCCUUAGCAGCCAGCCUGGUGUCAUUGGUGAUGCCACAGAAUAACAUGUAUACCUGCCUGUAGGAUAACACCGGGUUUCUACCUGGUUCCCUUCUGAGAUACUUCCAGCCUGCAAGAGGAUCUGAUUGCACUUUAGAUUUACUUAGGUAGCCUUCACAAAUAUUGAUUCACGUUGAAACCUCCUAAAAGAAAUACACCUAGCUCCACCCCAGAUCAAUAUCAGAAUCAUGUGGGGAUGGAUCCUGGGCAUGAUCAA